GCACUGCUUAGGAGUCCGAGAACAGGACGAAACGGCCGUCCAGUGC
rnacentral:hammerhead_ribozyme from 1 species